GCGGGGGUUGCCCAGACAGGUCAAAGGCGUAGGAUUGAGGGUCCUAUUCCGUAGGGAUUCGCGAGUUCAAAUCUCGUCCCCCGCACCA
rnacentral:tRNA from 1 species